rnacentral:rRNA from 1 species
AUGAACGCUGGCGGCGUGCCUAAUACAUGCAAGUCGCGCGCACAGACGAGGAGCUUGCUCCUCUGACGUUAGCGGCGGACGGGUGAGUAACACGUGGAUAACCUACCUAUAAGACUGGGAUAACUUCGGGAAACCGGAGCUAAUACCGGAUAAUAUAUUGAACCGCAUGGUUCAAUAGUGAAAGACGGUUUUGCUGUCACUUAUAGAUGGAUCCGCGCCGCAUUAGCUAGUUGGUAAGGUAACGGCUUACCAAGGCAACGAUGCGUAGCCGACCUGAGAGGGUGAUCGGCCACACUGGAACUGAGACACGGUCCAGACUCCUACGGGAGGCAGCAGUAGGGAAUCUUCCGCAAUGGGCGAAAGCUUGACGGAGCAACGCCGCGUGAGUGAUGAAGGUCUUCGGAUCGUAAAACUCUGUUAUUAGGGAAGAACAAAUGUGUAAGUAACUAUGCACGUCUUGACGGUACCUAAUCAGAAAGCCACGGCUAACUACGUG